rnacentral:rRNA from 1 species
CCCGGGCCUUGUACACACCGCCCGUCACGUCACGAAAGUCGGCAACACCCGAAGCCGGUGGCCUAACCCCGUGAGGGGAGGGAGCUGUCGAAGGUGGGGCUGGCGAUUGGGACG